rnacentral:rRNA from 1 species
GGAGAUGAGGUGCUUGCACCUUAUCUUAGCGGCGGACGGGUGAGUGAUGCUUAGGAAUCUGCCUAUUAGUGGGGGACAACAUUCCGAAAGGAAUGCUAAUACCGCAUACGUCCUACGGGAGAAAGCAGGGGAUCUUCGGACCUUGCGCUAAUAGAUGAGCCUAAGUCGGAUUAGCUAGUUGGUGGGGUAAAGGCCUACCAAGGCGACGAUCUGUAGCGGGUCUGAGAGGAUGAUCCGCCACACUGGGACUGAGACACGGCCCAGACUCCUACGGGAGGCAGCAGUGGGGAAUAUUGGACAAUGGGGGGAACCCUGAUCCAGCCAUGCCGCGUGUGUGAAGAAGGCCUUAUGGUUGUAAAGCACUUUAAGCGAGGAGGAGGCUACUGAGACUAAUACUCUUGGAUAGUGGACGUUACUCGCAGAAUAAGCACCGGCUAACUCUGUGCCAGCAGCCGCGGUAAUACAGAGGGUGCGAGCGUUAAUCGGAUUUACUGGGCGUAAAGCGUGCGUAGGCGGCUUUUUAAGUCGGAUGUGAAAUCCCCGAGCUUAACUUGGGAAUUGCAUUCGAUACUGGGAAGCUAGAGUAUGG